AUGUACAUUCCUACAUCAUAGCGUUUAUGCAUCGGAUCCCAUUAGAGCUUUGUAGUUAAGCGUGGUGAGGCUAGAGUAGUACUAGGAUGGGUGACUUCCUGAGAAGUCCUAGUGCUUUACAUG
rfam:Picea glauca, whole genome shotgun sequence.